rnacentral:rRNA from 1 species
CGCUGGCGGCGUGCCUAAUACAUGCAAGUCGAACGGUCUUUCUAUGGAAGCUUGCUUCCACUGAGAAGAUAGUGGCGAACGGGUGAGUAACACGUGGGUAACCUGCCCAUAAGAGGGGGAUAACAUCCGGAAACGGGUGCUAAUACCGCAUAGUUUUCUUGAUCGCAUGAUUGAGAAAGGAAAGACGGCCUUUGUGCUGUCGCUUAUGGAUGGACCCGCGGCGUAUUAGUUAGUUGGUGAGGUAACGGCUCACCAAGACGAUGAUACGUAGCCGACCUGAGAGGGUGAUCGGCCACAUUGGGACUGAGACACGGCCCAAACUCCUACGGGAGGCAGCAGUAGGGAAUCUUCCGCAAUGGACGAAAGUCUGACGGAGCAACGCCGCGUGAGUGAAGAAGGUUUUUCCGGAUCGUAAAACUCUGUUGUCAGAGAAGAACAAGUUGGAGAGUAACUGCUCCAGCCUUGACGGUAUCUGACCAGAAAGCCACGGCUAACUACGUGCCAGCAGCGGC